GACGAACGCUGGCGGCGUGCUUAACACAUGCAAGUCGAACGGAAAGGCCCUGCGUUUGUGGGGUGCUCGAGUGGCGAACGGGUGAGUAACACGUGAGUAACCUGCCCUUGACUUUGGGAUAACUUCAGGAAACUGGGGCUAAUACCGGCUAGGAGCUCCUGCUGCAUGGUGUGGGUUGGAAAGUGUCGGCGGUUGGGGAUGGACUCGCGGCUUAUCAGCUUGUUGGUGGGGUAGUGGCUUACCAAGGCUUGGACGGGUAGCCGGCCUGAGAGGGUGACCGGCCACAUUGGGACUGAGAUACGGCCCAGACUCCUACGGGAGGCAGCAGUGGGGAAUAUUGCACAAUGGGCGGAAGCCUGAUGCAGCAACGCCGCGUGCGGGAUGACGGCCUUCGGGUUGUAAACCGCUUUCGCCUGUGACGAAGCGUGAGUGACGGUAAUGGGUAAAGAAGCACCGGCUAACUACGUG
rnacentral:rRNA from 1 species